UCUUGGAAGGAGGAAGACAAAUGACUGGAGCCCCUGUGCAGCACUAAUAAGAGAUCUACAGUCCAGUGAUUGAAAUCACUGCCUGCACUGGCACCUCUUUUGGGCAUAUUUUAAGAGCCAACUGUUGCUGAACGACAAUCCCCUGCAAGGUGCUGAAGUAUGAAUUGAACUAACUGAGAGAGAAACGGACCCAAACACGACAGCCCUGCUCUCAGUAGAUGACAUUUAUUUCUUGACCUAAUCCAGCAGACUUUUAGACUAAACUCCUACUGAAAAUAAGCAGGAACCCUAGGCUGGGGAGCACCCUGGGCCCUCAGUGAGGGCUUUCUUGUCUCUUGGGUUCGCCCUGGACACAGAGCGGGCCCAACGUUGCAGCAUCGCGGGACACUGUGGCCUUCU